rnacentral:rRNA from 1 species
CAUUCGAGUGGCGGACGGGUGAGUAACGCGUGGGUAACCUGCCUUACACAGGGGGAUAACACCUGGAAACAGGUGCUAAUACCGCAUAAGCGCACAGGGCCGCAUGGCCCGGUGUGAAAAACUCCGGUGGUGUAAGAUGGACCCGCGUCUGAUUAGCCAGUUGGCGGGGUAACGGCCCACCAAAGCGACGAUGCGUAGGGGUUCUGAGAGGAAGGUCCCCCACACUGGUACUGAGACACGGACCAGACUCCUACGGAAGGCAGCAG